CCCCAUGUAACCUCACAAUCUCGUUGAGGUAUACUUGCGCGAGUUUAUCGCCUGCCCAAGUAUUGUGGAUCGGCAGAAAGUGCGCUGAUUUCGUCAAGCGAUCCACAAUUACCCAAAUCGCGUCGUGGCCACCCGUCGAACGAGGUAAGCCGACGAUGAAAUCCAUCGAUACGUCAUCCCAUUUCCAGACGGGAAUAGACAAACUUUGCAGCUUCCCCGCUGGAAACCGGCGCUCCGCCUUCACCUGCUGGCAAACUAGACACUUCGCUACGAAGCGCCCAAUAUCAGUCUUCAUUCCCGGCCACCAAUAUAGUGUCUUUAGCUCAUGAAACAUCUUGGUGCCGCCCGGGUGGUCGACAUAAGGAGACCAAUGUGCUUCCUGCAAAAUCAACUUGCGAAGCUCCUCGUCACUUGGCACACACCACCGGUUUCGAAACCGUAGUGCACCACUAGCAUCCACACUGAAAUCCCCACCGCGGCCACUUUCAACAUUGUGCCGCACCUUCUGGAGAUUCGGAUCCGCGGAUUGUAAAUCCUGGAUCCUUUCCAACAAAGUGGGUUGGACCACCAACGCCAUCAACCUAGUCGGAAUUUCUGGAGCCACCACCUCAAGAUCCAUUUUCCCCAUUUGCAACUGUAGGGGCGUCUGAUUGGUAACCCACAAGGCGAGAUUCUCCGCCGACUUCCGACUAAGCGCAUCUGCGACUACAUUUGCUUUUCAGGGGUGGUAAAGGAUAUCAACAUCGUAAUCCUUAAGCAACUCCAACCACCGCCGUUGCCGCAUAUUCAGCUCCUUCUGGGUAAACAAGUACUUCAAACUUUUAUGGUCGGUGUAGAUCUCGCAAUGAGCGCCAUAUAGAUAGUGUCUCCAAAGCUUCAGAGCAAAGAUCACCGCCGCCAACUCCAAGUCAUGUAUGGGGUAGUUCUUCUCGUAGCUUUUCAACUGACGGGACGCAUAAGCAAUGACCCUUCCACCUUGCAUCAGCACACACCCCAAACCCAGAUAAGACGCGUCGCUAAACACCACAUAGUCAUCACCCUGCAUCGGUAAGGCGAGUACCGGGGUUGAAGUUAAUCUCCCCUUCAACUCUUUAAAACUUCGGUCACACUCGUCGCUCCAAACAAACCGGGUGCCUUUCUGCGUCAGACGGGUGAGUGGAAUCACAAUCUUCGAGAAGCCCUCCACAAACCGUCGGUAGUAACCUGCUAGGCCCACAAAACUCCGGACCUCAGCAACACUCGUCGGGCGUGGCCAAUUCUCAAUAGCCUCUACUUUCCUCGGGUCAACAGAAACACCGCCCUCGGAAAUAACAUGCCCGAGAAAAGCGACUUCUCGGAGCCAGAAGUCACACUUCUUUAGCUUUGCGUACAACUUCUUCUCCCGAAGGAUUUGAAGUACGGUGCGCAAAUGCUUCGCAUGCUCCUCCUCGUCACGCGAAUAGACCAAGAUGUCGUCUAUAAAGACUACGACAAAUCGGUCUAAGCACUCCCUGAACACUCGAUUCAUCAGGCUCAUGAACGCGGCCGGGGCAUUUGUAAGCCCAAACGGCAUCACGGUAAACUCGUAGUGUCCAUACCGCGUGCGAAACGCGGUCUUCGAAACAUCCUCCGGCUUAAUCUUCAACUGAUGGUAGCCGGAUUGGAGGUCAAUCUUGGAGUACACUCGCGACCCCUGUAACUGAUCAAACAAGUCGUCGAUGCGGGGUAACGGGUACUUGUUCUUCACAGUAACUUUAUUCAACUCGCGGUAAUCCACGCAGAGUCGAAAGGAUCCAUCCUUUUUGCGCACAAACAAUACCGGGGCUCCCCACGGUGACACGCUCGGCUUAAUAAACUCCUUGUCAAGAAGAUCCUGCAACUGAUCCCUCAACUCCCUUAACUCAGCCGGCGCCAUGCGAUAUGGGGCUUUGGUUAUCGGCGCGGUCCCGGGAAGCAAGUCUAUCAUGAACUCAAUUUCCCGGUCCGGCGGCAUCCCCGGUAACUCCGCCGGAAACACGUCCGGAAACUCUCGCACAACCUCCAACUCUUCAAGAGCCGGCACUACUCGGUCGACUUCCACAACGGUCGCCAAGUAAGCCAUACAACCGCUAUUGACCAGCUUCCUCGCUCUCGUUGCCGACACCGUCGCGGCGAAGCACGAACUUUUGCAAGCUCGAUAAGUAAACUCCUCAUGUCCCGGCUCCCGAAAUGUGAUCACCCUAGUCUUGCAGUCGAUAGACACAUAAUACUUCGAGAGCCAGUCCAUGCCCAAAAUGACAUCAAACUCCCUCAACCUCUUCAGCACUAACAGGUCGACCGGUAUAAUCCAGUCACCCACUUGUACUGGGCACGCUAAACACCGCUUCCUAACAAGGAAGGCUCGUCCCGGUCCUUCUACACGCCACACAUUCUCCCCGAGACUAAUCUCCAUACCAUGCACUUGUGCAAAUGAUCGGUUAAUGAAGGAGUGAGACGCGCCAAUAUCAAAAAGAGCUCUUGCCCGAACACCAUUGACCAAAACCAUACCUGCCACUACGUUGCGCUCCUCGGCUUCCACGGGCUCCUCUUCCUGCACUUGAGCGGCAUACAUCCUUCCGCUCGGAGCCGAUCGUGCAGGUUCAGGUUGACGUGGUGCCGCCGCACGUCCAGCCGACGCCGCAGCAGGUGGCAUAGCAUAACGAGCCGGAAUCGCCGGGGCCGAUGCAACAGAUGGAGCAGGUAAAGCCCCUCCUUGAGGGCAGUCGCGUGCGAUGUGCCCUGCUUGCCCGCAUCUAAAGCACUUUCCUCGGCGCUGAUCACACACACUGGGUCGAUGGUCACCGCCGCAAAAGAUACAUCGCUGCGCUCCACGGCCCUUUGGUUGCGAUCGUGGAUACUUCGGGGGCCUUCUCGAACUCGACUGUCCCCCCGAACCGCCGCCCGGUCGCUUCUUCCCUUUAUCCUUCUCGAACGUCUCACGAUCCUCACGCUCGCAGGCGUUCCCAUGCUCGACCCAUAAGGCGCGGUCCAAAGCCUCCGCAAAAGUAUGAAACUUGAAGGCAUGCACCAUCCGAAACACGCCGGGUCGGAGUCCUCUCACGAAGCAAUCUGCUCGGUCUUGCUCCGUUGUCGCCACGUCUGGGACGCAGUUCAAAAGAUGUGUGAACUCUCGCUCAUACUCCCGAACUGUGCGGUUGCCUUGCUUAAGCUUCUUGAAGUCUUCCCGCAUCUUUCUUUUGUCACUGUCGGGAAAGUGAUCCACGAACAUCAAUCUUCGGAACUCCUCCCAAUCGAUCGGGGGAAGAUCCGGAGAUCGGUCCUGCUUUACUCUCUUCCACCACACCCUGGCCCGCUUAUCAAAGCAAUGAGCGGCCAAAUUGACCUUGUCCCGCUCCUCUGUAUAGAUAUCCUCGAAUAGGGUCUCCAUCGAGGCCAACCAUGUCUCCACUGUCCAAGGAUCUAUCACUUCGCCGUCGAAUGUAGGCGGGUGGAACUUCGUAAACCUUGUGAGAGCCGUGUAGCCACGCUCUCGCUCCGCCUCCUCAGCCGCUGCUCUAGGCGUGGGAGACCUCGACGCCGCAGGAGGAACAUCCACCGGUAGGGGUUGCGCCGCCACCGGAACCGGCGCAUCACCCACACCCUCGGCCGCAUUGGGGGCGAGAACCGAAGGCGCAGGCGGGUCACAACCUUGUCCGACUGCCGCAGCCGCCGCCGCAGCUUGACGCUCCAUAAGCUCCUGGAGCCGAUCGAACCGCCCUGCUAACGCAGCAACUUGUCCCCGCAGUUCUUGCACCUCACUAGGCCCAGCUGGCUCUGGCGCCGCCGGGGGCACGGCUGACUCGGGCACCACUAGGGGUGGUGCCGGAGCAGUCCUACGCGCGUAGCGUCUCUUUGGUGCCAUUAGCUCCUGAAACGCAAACAAUCGGUCAAUUACUUAACCCAACGACGUUUUCGCAGUUACGAAAUGAUACGACUUAACCAAACAAAUCAGACGGAAGCUCAUAAGUGUACCCGUUCUUGACUCUCGGCCUUGUGUUGUCGGCCGCCAACACAAUCGCCUUAAGCCAAGGACUAGUAUCACUCAAUUGAUCUCUAGCAACUACUAGAGUAUCAACCCCACUUCGACCCAAUCGAUCAACUUUCGCCGCGUCAUAGGUUCACGUCGCACUCACGCACCUAUAACCUUAAGGCUCACCAUCCUAGGGUCUCCUAGGUCAGUCCUAGACUCUCUCUUUUGCUUGCUCUUACUCGCUCUGAUACCACAACUGUCACGCCCCCGCCCCGAGCCCGCUGCCAAUUUGGUCCGGAUCGAGCGCGGCGAACGGACGCCGAACGGACAGAGUCUCCUUUGUCCGCCCAAGGCUCAAACGACGAGAUCAUGUACACAAGAUCCCAAGAAAUACACUUGUUUACGUACAUGAUCAAACACUGAUAGCGAGAGCACAAACAGUGCUAAACAAACAAGAGCAAGCAACACAUGUAAGGCAUACAAGUGAUAAAAGAGAGAUGUACUUAGUUAUUAAUCCAUUUAACUUUAUACAAUUAUUACAACUUGCAUUCUUCCAAACUGUACAACAUAUAUACAACCCUCUCAAACCUCACCCUAUACAUCCAACUACUCUCAAAAUAGUACAAGGUACAGCUAAUGCAAAAGGAGGUAAGCUAGCUAUCAACAUGAACCACUAGGGCGCUACGCCCUUGCCGCGAUCCUCUCCAGGGGCGCUCGAACUCGGACCUGCAAUGUGGUGGAGUGAGAACUACGAAUAGUUCCCAGUGGGUUCGGCCGCCGACUCCGCCGAUCUCCCCACUAGGUCUUAAGCAGGCACAGAUAGAUAUGCAGAUAGAUGGAUAUGUAAGGCUGAAAGCAGUAAAAGUAAUGAGCAACUAUAAUCUAUCAAUGCCUCAAUCCAGUGUAAUGCAUGCAUGGAACUCAUAGCAAGAAAGCUGACUAUCACACUACCAUGUUCAACAACAAAGUCACUCAUCUGGUUACCCAAUCUCUCGGCGAACGCAAGGUUCGCUCACAAUCUCACGUCUCUAAGUCUCAUAGGGGAGGUGGCUAGCUAUUCACCAACCCCGAGACCGCCUGCGGACACUACACUGGUCCAAGGGCACUACACUGGCCCCCUCGCGUGCCAAACUCCGGAGUGCACUACCUGUGAGGAGCUACCUCCACAGGUGCAGACAGGCUAAGUGAGCUCGAUCCAAUCUCAUGAACUGGGAACACCCUAUUCAAUCAGGGGUGAUAGUAACAUAGUAUCUCAACUAUACUAGUGUUCUCAUGCCACUCUUGCACUAUUUAAUGCCACUCGUUCAAUGUUUAGGGUUAACUAGAUGCCACUCGUUCUCUUGACAAGUUCUUGCUACACUAGUUUCCAAUACACUAGGUUCAUAUUCACAUAAACAUAUUCAUCAUAUAUAGGGCGACUAUCUCAUAGUAUUUAACUCAUGCAUACUAGGUUUUCAUUCAUGGUAUCCGCGACCUAUACAUCACUAGCAUGCAAGGAUAUGCACAGUCACAUGUAACACCCUAUAAUACUAUAUCACAAUAUGCAAAUGGUCGAUAUUAGUACUCAGACAUAAAGAGUAGCCCGACUGCUUCGGGAUGGCACUCCCCCACCUCGUGGUGAUGCCGUGACUCUUCGAUCGCGAUUCGCCGACGUCUCAACGCCUCGUUGGCCUUCUAGGCGAGAACGAAGCUCCGAAGUUCUUCUUGGCGAUAACUCCGCACCCACUCGACGGAUCGACGAACCGUCUUCGCCGACGCGUUCAGAGACCUAGCAAUUUGGUUUGCGACCCAUCAAUUUAGAUCAAAACCCUAGAUUCGCCAAAAUCCCAUUUCUGAGCCCUAGAUCUCGAUACUGGAGAAAUCCGCGGUGCGAGCUUCGAUUUCGAGAUCGAACCUUCUCCCUAGCUCCAAUGGUUCCAUUUGAACCAAUUCCAAGCUAUAAAACCCUAGCUUCCAAAAUCCACCAUGAAAGGGUUUGAGGUUUACCUCAAUACCAAGCUCCAAGCUUGAAGAGGGAGAGAAGAAGACGAUCUUCUUCUUCUUCUUCUUAGUCUUCUCCUUCUCUUUCUCCUUCUUUUCCUUCCUCUCCUUCUUCUUCUUUUCCUUUCUAGAGAGAGAGAGAGAGAAAGAGUGUGAGAGGGGGAGAGAGCAAAUGAGGGAGAGAGAGGGGUCCCCAAGCCCUAUUAAAGGCCAUUUUGCAAAUAGCUCCCUCAACUUUUCAUCUUUAGAAUCAGCCCUCUCUGGGCAUUUUCGCAGUGAGGGACCGGUCCCAGCUCGGGGAGACCGGUCCCCGAAAGCUGCACAACCAGGCAGAGGGGAUUUCGCGUUCGGGAACCGGUCUUUGCCUGAGAGACCGGUCCCCGGGAGACCGGUCCUUGUCCGAGAGACCGGUUCCCGAGAGCAACACCUUCGGGACUUAGCCAAAUUUCGGCUUCUCUCGCUGGGCCAACGUUCGGGAACCGGUCCCUGCCUGCCAGGGACCGGUCUCAUCAGAGACCCCCGCAGCCCAGCUUGAUGGGACCGGUCCCUCCCUGCCAGGGACCGGUCCCCGAGAGCAUUUUUGCUCCAGUGCAGCUUUUGCACUGGUGCUCUCGCGGACACCUCCUCAAUGCACCUUAUGCGUUGUGAUCAACUUCGGACCUUUCGAAGCUUACACACUCGACAAUCAGUCGAUUCCUGGCGAAGUCUAAUCCUCGGGUUUCGAGAAUUCACUUCCCUUACAGUUAGACUACUCAGUUGAGCACUAAAAGUAUAACAUUGCAACUAGUACUUUUUCUCAUUCAAUCGAACAAAGAGCAAAACCUAAUUAUAUUGUUCUAUUAUGCCCCGAGAGUGUAAAUUUGGAACGAAUCGAUGUAAACGUUCACAAGAACCAAAACCGGAACAAAAUUAGACUACUCAGUUGAGCCCUAACAGUAUAACUUUGCAACUAGUAGUUUUUCUCAUUCAAUCGAACAAAGAGCAAAACCUAAUUAUUGUGUUCUAUUAUGCCCCGAGAGUGUAAAUUUGGAACGAAUCNNNNNNNNNNNNNNNNNNNUGUGGGUGAGGUGAUGAGUGGGUUGUUAUUGCCCGAGCAGAUCGUCAUUCGUCUCAGAUAUUUUCUUCCUCACCUAUCUCUUACCUCCUUUACUUCUAUAUAUAUAUAUAUAUAUGUAUAUAUGUAUAUAUGUAUAUAUAUAUGUAUAUAUAUGGGGUAAUGGGUGGUUAAUAAAUAGUGGAGUAAUGGGAUUGUUAAUAGAUAGUGGAGUAAUGGGGAGUUUGGGGAGUUUGAUUCAGACUUGAACGGGUUCAUCAAAUGAGAUAAUAUUGAGUAGUGGAAAAUUUUUCAGGAUUUCUCUUUUAAUCUCUCUCUUUUGGCAAGCCCAACAUUAAUUAAAUAUGGGACAAAAUCUGCUGUAAUGAAAGGUGCCUCCCAUUAAUAAUUUAUAAUGAACCUAAAUAUUGGCCCAAUAAAAUAUAUCUUACAUAUAUCUUGUUCGUAUGCCGCCUUUAUGGGCUAGCUAAAAAUUUGGCCCAAUAAGUAGUUUUCAUUUCUAAUAUUCUAUAAGGGGCCCAAAAUUAGGUAUAAUAAAAUGUCCCCCAUUUUUCUAUUUUCUAUUUUUCAUCUUUUGAAAGGCUGAUUCAAAAGUGGUUCAACAAAUGCCUCCCACCGGAGCAUGCACAAGAGCAAAGCUCAAGUGUUUGCCUCCGGUGCACGUUGAUUAUCUUCCAAAUUUCCGACUUUUUUCUUUUCAAAGCAUUGGAUGUAGUUAGUGUCCCGUUGUAAAUUUGUAGUUGCUAAUGAGUGGAUUUGGCCAAAUUAGGACCAAUUAUAACAAAAGUUUGAGUUUUGGAGAAUUUAUGAUCACUUGAAACCAUAUUAAAACAUAGAAUAAAGUCAAUAACAAAAGUAAUUUUUUAUAUUUACUUCAACAUACAUAUGAAUCUAUAUUUGAUAUGAAAUAAUUUGAAAGAGACAUGCAAGCUAUGUCUUCCACCAUGAAAAGCCAACCUUGGCUAAUCUUUGCACUAAUGCUAUCAGUGAGAAAACAAUAUAUUUAUUUUGUAAAAUGUGAAUAAGGCUAUUCAUUGAUUAGAUGUUGAACUAAAGAUUUGACUUGUGCUUCACAUAGGUCUUUCCGAGUCAAAAGUCAAAUUUUCAUUAAUCUGAAGUACAUAUUGACGUAGUACAUCAUUUGAUAGGGAGGAAGCAGGUGGGCGAAUCUUCACUUUUCUUUUUUUUUUUCUUUUUUUUUCUUUUUUUUUUUUAUAUAAUGGUAGGAGCACACUUAAAUCACUUGUGUAGAGUAAAUUAGCUCUCUCCAUUAUGGUGCUAGCUUUCACUCUUUGCUUUUUUUUUUUUUUGUUUUUUGUGUGUGCGAGUAAAGGUAGCUUUUUCCACAUCUUUCUGAUAUUUUUUUAUUCUCCUUCUUUUUUUUUUCUUUUUUUUUUUUGCCCAUUCUAGGAAUGAUGAGAUGGUAAUUAAUAAGACUUUUGAAUGAUUCAAAUUUGACAUAAUGAUUCUUCAAUCCAAAGUUUCACCAAGUCAAAAUUUUUAUGUUCAACAUCCAUUAAAUUGUCACAAUCAUAUGUGCACAUGUGACAAUUAAAAUAUAUUGAAAACUCACUGAUUGUCCAUUAAGGCAUAUAUCAUAGAUCAAGAUUCACCAUCAUGACUAUAUAGAUCAUAAUUUGCAUGCAUCAUUUGCUCAUAACAUAUUGCGAGAUUCAUAACUUAUGUUGAAAAUAUUUCGAUUAAUGGAAAUCAAAGCCUUUUUUUUCUUAAAGAAAUCUUUUUCUUUUUCCCUUUUUUUUUAAGAGAAUUGUAUGCACGGAUUUUUUUGAGAAGAAAAGAAAAAAAAACUGAUGCAAAUUUCACUUAAAAAAAAAAAACCUUUUUCAUUUUUUAUUGUUAUUUAAAAAAAAAUUAUCUUUUACGAAUAUUUGGUGUCUCAAUUUUGGCCAUAACCACUCAUCUACCCUUAUCAUGCUGUAAUACACUGAACUUAAGCAAAUUGCGAAGUUCGAGUGUGUGGAAUGAUAUGUGGAACUAUCCUACAUCUUCUAAAAGGCUUAGACAAGUUUUUGGAUAAGUUAGAGAAGUGUUUGAACGGCCGAAAGUAAGAAAGUGCAUUACUGGCGAAAAUCUGCAUUGUGUACCGGUACAGCCAUCAUCUUGUAUCGGUACAAAAAGGCAGAUACGUGGCAGCAAGGCUAAUUUGGUAAUUUCACUUCUUUAACUCAUCCUUAUCUACCCAGCACGAUCUCUGGAGCUCCUUAGAUGAUGCUAGAGCUCAGAGAAGCAGCCUUGCACCUCUCUCACUCUCUCUCUCUAGGGUUUCUCUCUCUUCGAAUAGAAGUCGCCGAUUCGAGCCGAUUUCGCGCUCCGCUCGAUGUUCGCUGAUUUGGCGACUCAAAGGAAGCUUUUGGAACGUGGGGAGGAGGAUUUUUACUGACUUUUCUGGGAUCUUACUAUCAGGAAAAGUUGAGUUGUAGCUUUUGAAAGGUAUAUUGCCUAAAACUUCUCUAAUCGGAAGUUAGUAGCGGAUUUUGAGUCAUUUUGAUUUCUUUGCUCCCAGCUGAUUUAGGAGGAGUUUCCAGCAGCUAGAGAGGAGUUAUUUAGCUGUAAUUUAUCCACUCUAGUGCAGGGAAAAGUUGCUUUGAAGCUUGAUUAAGGUAAUUAGUUAUCUAUGAAGCUAUUUUGGAACUAUACGCGAUUCAUUUGAGCAACUUGAUGCAGUUUGGAAUGGUUUCUUCGCAGCAGGUUUCCGAUUCAUUUUGUGUUAAAUUGGUGACCUUGGGACCUGGUUUGGAAGGUGUUCCGAUCAGGGGUAAGUAGAAAUUUCAGAUAGAAAACUGAUUUCGCAAGAUUCCGACUAUAUUAAUUAGUAUUCGAGGGUUUUUGACGCCGUUUGGUGUUUGUUCGCAGCGAGAGUGCGAUCGACCCUUGGAUCGUCUUCGGCUGACUUGUGAAAGCUUUUGGAGGUUGAACUUGAGGUACUAAUGUGAACCAAAAUAGGGAUUUAAGUUACUACUUUGUACUAAGUGAAAUUAUGCCGAUUUCAGACAUUUUGGUAAUGGUUUCCAAUCCGGUUUUGAUGCUUCGUUUUCAGCAGGGUUGAGGCCUAGUUGAGCUAAAUUUCGGGACUCCUUUGGGCUGGAUUGAGCUCAGUGAUAGGUGGGUUUGACCUAACCAGAGCAAGUGAAGCUCCCCUAUGUUCUAUAUGAUACUAUAGAAUUGACACAUAUGUGCGUUUUUGUGAUUAUGCGAUUGAUAAAGGGCUUGGAACAUAUCACCAUAAUGUUUGAUAUAUUUGAAAUAAAAUCUCUAUGAAGUAAGAGAACACUUAUGCAUAAAAGUAUUUAUUUUUAUAUUUAGUUCAGUUGAAUAACUAAUGGACAUAUCUAUUAUGCUUCUAUAAAGUAGAGAACAAUGACAUUCUUUGUUACUAUUUUGAUAGUACCCUGAUAGUAAAAAGUUUCUAAUGCCAUGUGUAAAUUAGCAUUACUUUCAUAUGCUUACUAAUCUAGUGGAUACUAGCUAUUGUCAUUGUUCAUUGCAUUGAGAAUUCCGAUCAAUAGAUCGAGAGUGAGAACAUUGCAUACUAUGACGUAAGGUUUGAGACAUACUGGACUAUGGACUUUGCUUGCUUGCCAUUGUGCUCAUUCGCACACGCUUGUGAGGGUAGCUUCCUACAAGCUGGCACUUCGGAGUUGGCCUAUGCGACAGAUUGCUCGCCCGUGCGGGAUUGGGUGCCGAAGUGGAUUGCCGUGGGGAGUGCAUACUACCACGGGGCCAUUAGGUACGGCGCAAGCUGGACUACCUUAUGUAGGUCCUUAUGAAUAAAAUUAAAGUUCUAAAUGACAGAUGAUAGUAAGGAUUGAUUACCAGUUAUAGUGUACAGUAUUUACUUACACGUUUAUGCUUAUGUUCAUUUUUAUGAUCAUGCUUACAGUAAUUGCUAUGCUUUUAUUAUUCAGUUGAUUCAUUACUAUAGAAAGUAUGAUUACAUGUUGAUUACAUGUUUAUUACUUGUUAGCAUUGUAAAUAUAUCAUGCAAUUACUGCUUUUACUUUUAUUUAGUACAUCAUGAGCCUAGUGGUGUAAUUCGCCGAGGCUGGCGGCUUACCCACUGGGAGCUAUUGUUGAAUAGUUCUCACGCCCUUUUUAUUGUUGCUUUUACAGAGCCACCUACAGGAGAGGCUAGGGAUCCCGGCAAGGAAGUCACAUCUAGCUAGACCUAGCUUGCGGUUUUACUAGGUGAUCACCUUGCUACUCGUGCCACGGCCGAGGGUGAUGUACCCGUGUAUAGAGAGACUACCAUUGUACAUGUAUUUUGUGUACCCUGUGAUGUAUAUGUGGUUUGGAUCGGGGAUUGUAAUUUUGAUAUUUCUCUAUGAUGUGAGAUUUUGGGUUGUGUACUCUUUGUUCUUUUGUUCAUGGUAUUAUAGAUUAUACUUGCUUUGAUAUCAGGAUAGGAUCCUUCUAUGUUUUCCUCCUAUCGACAUGUUUUAUUUGUAGACGCCUUAUAUACUGCAGGUGUAUGGCGGGUCUGUGCACGUGCCGGAUAUGCUUCCGCUGGUACCCGAGCGUGACAGAUUAUAGUGGUAUCAGAGCCUAGGGUUGAGUCUUAGUGGACCUAGCAAACCUUAGGCUGGUUGGACUAUAAGAAUAGGCUCGUGAAAGACGAGGUCUAGUCAAGUUUUUGGCGAAAGUACUUUGAUUGGGUAACUUAUAAACUCCGAAUGGUAGGAGUUUGAUCGGAAUGUGCAAUUACUAACUUUGCAGAGGGCCACGUUGGCGGCCGACAACGUGACAUCGGAAGUUAGUAUAUGUUACAUUUCAUUACUUUCGCUUGAUUGGAUGGUUUAUAUCAGAAGUAGGGGUUCAAUAGUAUAAGGUUUAUUAAUCCAUGUUUGUUUUUGUGCUGCAGUUUAAGAUGCCUUCGACUCGUUCGAAGACCGCCGGGCGGCUGAGGCGGCUGAUGCGGAGGAAGUGGAGACCUCCGCUACCUCCGGGCCCAGUGGGGUCCGUGAGUUGCAAGACCAGCUUGCGAUGCUGAUAGACUUGGUGACUCAGCAGGCUACGGCAGCGCGACAAUAGAUAGAUGCUGCGCGCCGACAGGAGGAAAGAAUAAAGCGGUUAGAGGAUUUAUUACUGCGGCAGACGACUGAUAGAGAGAUUCCUGAUCCCAUGCCGACAAUACCAGAUAGGGAUACGACAGUAAGAGCACAGUCACCAGUGCCAGAUACCUCACCAGUAGCUCCGAGGGCAGAGACACGACAGGAGGUAGUGGUACCACCACCCGUGCAUGUGGCUACGACAGGGACAGUGUUGCCUGAGAUGGUGGGGGCUGAGGAGUAAGAGCGGAUGAUGGAACGACUGAAUGAAUUCCGUCGUUGCAACCCUGUCACUCCCGGGUACCAGCGGAAGCAUAUCCGGUACGUGCACAGACCCGCCAUACACCUGUAGUAUAUAAGGCAUCUACGAAGAAAGCAAGUCGAUAGGAAGUAAAACAAAGAAAGUCCUAUCCUGAUAUCAGAGCAAUGUACAAGUUGAUAUACUAUCAGUAAAAAAAUAAAGAGUAUACAAUCCAAAAUCUCAGCAAAAAGGAGAAGUGUCGCAACGAAAGUAUCUGGUCCAAAUGGUAAAUAUACAUCAUAGAGUAUAAAAGUAGAUCCAACGGUAGUCUCUCUAUACAUAGGGACAUCACCCUCGGCCGUAGUCCGAGUAGCAAGGUGAUAGACUAGUAUGCUCCUAGCAAUGUCUAGCUAGACGAGACUGCCUUGCCACGAUCCCUAGCCUCUCCUGCAGAUAGCUCUGUAAAAACAACCACCAAAAAGGGCGUGAAAACUAUUAACAAUAGUUCCCGGUGGGUAAGCCGCCAACUUCGGCGAAUUACACCACUAGGCUCAUGAUGUACUAAAGGUAAGUAAAAGCAAUAAUUGCAUGAUAUAUGUAUGAUGCUAACAAGUAAAGAGCAUGUAAUUUGCAUGAUAUCUUUCCAAUGCUAAACAAUUAAUAAGCAUGUAAACAACAUGUAAUAGCUUUCUACAGUAAUGAAUUGAACAAUAAAAGUAUAGCAGCUACUGUAAGCAUGAACAUAAAUAUGAAUGUGUAAGCAGAAACUGUACACUAUGACCGGUGAUUAUUCAUUACUGUCCAAUGUCCUUUAGCACUUUCCUUUCAUUCACAGGGACCUACACAAGGUAGUCUAGCUUGCGCCGCGCCUAAUGGCCCCGUGGUAGUAUACACUCCCCACGGCAAUCCACUUCGGCACCCAAUCCCGCACGGGCGAGCAACUGUCGCGUAGGCCAACUCCGGAGUGCCGGCUUGUAGGGAGCGACCCUCACAAGCGUGUGCGACUGAGCACAAUGGCGGCAAGCAAAUCUAAAGCUCAAUAUGUCUCGAUCAUCACUUUCCAACUUGCAUUGUUCUUACUCUCGAUCCUUUGAUCGGAAUCUCAUUAUAAUAAGUAUUGAUAACAGCUAGUAUCCACUAGAUUAAUAAACAUACAAGAUUACAUAUGGCAUUAGGAUCUUUUCACUAUCAUGGCACUAUAAAUAUAACCAUAAGCACGUCAUCAUUCUCUACUUUAGAGUCAAAAAAGUGUCAUAAGGAUGUCAUGGUUUUCUCGAAACAUGAUAACUUGUCUAUUAAUCACUCAACUAAAUUAAACAUGUAUAUGAAGAUUUAUAUGCAUGAGUGUUCUCUACUUCAUAGAGAUUUCAAUUCAAUUAUAUAUCAACACUAUAAUAUAGUGACUGGUCUCAAGUUCUAUAUCAAUCACAAAAGUAUACAACUGUAUCAAUUCUAUAGUACAUAUAGAACAUAUGGGAGCUCCACUUACUCUGGUUAGGUCAAACCCACCUAUUACUAAGUGCAAUCCAAUUGUAAGAAGUCCCAAAACUCAGCUCCACUAGGCCGCAACCUUGCUGAAAACAAAACACGAAAGUCGCACCGAAGCGAUCACUUCGAUUCUAAGUUCGGCAAAAUUCUCAAUUAAUACAAAAUGGAAGCUUAAUUCCCUGUUUUGGCUAGUGUAAUACCUCAAGAAGAGUCUCCAAGAGCUCUCCCAAGUCAACUGCGAACAACAUCGAAACGGCAUCAAUAUAGUCGAUUAUAAGCUAUUAUAAUCGAAUUCUUGCGACAUUAAAUUUCUAGCUGAAAUUCCUGCUUACCCUUGGUUAGAACACCUUCUAAAUCAGUCCCCAAAGUCACCAAUUAAGCUUAAUUUGGUUCAACAACCUGCUGCGAAGAGAAUAAUUUCCAAACUGCAUUAGUUAUUCACUUAACCGUCAUAUAGCUCCAACUAGCUUCAUAAUGAACUAAUUAUCUCUAUUAACCUUCAAAGAAUCUUAUCCCUGGUCUAAGGAGAUUAAUUCACAGCUAAUUAAUUCAUCUUUAAUAGCUGAAAUCUCAGUUUAAAGCAGUUGGAAGCAAAAACCUGAAAUAAAUACUCAAAUCGACUAAUAGAGCGCCGAUAACGGAAAAUCGAGUCGUUUACCUUCUCAAGCUUCCAACCAGCACCUCACUGGUCCAGGGCUGCGAAAAUUCUUCCAAAACACUCCCCCACACGCCCACGUAGGCUCUGCAACACUCGCCACCAGCGAAGAAUGCGCGAUACGACGAAAACGAGCGAAAUCGUCGAAUCCUUGUAGAGAGAGGAAGAUCCUAGAGAGAGAGAGUAGAGAAGGUGGAAGAACAAGCUCCAGAGCUCUAGCAUCCUCCACUGAGCAUUCCUGGUCGAGCUGGGGUCAAGUGGAUAGGUAUCAAGUGUGAAAUUAUAGAAAUACCCUUGCUGCCACGUAUCUGCCAGUGCUGUAUCGGUACAAGCUGAUGGCUGUACCGGUACACCCUGCAGAAAAGGCUGAAUUUUGCCAGUUCAGUGCAUUUCUUGCUUUUACCCCUCCAAUCACUCUCUAACUUGUUCAAAAAAACUUGUCCAAGUCAUUUAGAAUACGUAGAAUUGAUUCACAUUCCAUUCCCCACACUCGAACUCCGCAAUUUGCAAAAGUUCAGUGUAUUACAAACCCUCGUAUCUUUGACGAAAAAAAAGCAGAUCAUUGGGUGGUCGAGAAAUGGCUGAUGCACAUGGAGAAGCUAUUCUAUGAUACUUUUGUUGAGGAGCAAUACCGGGUUUGGUUCGCGACACACCAUCUUGAUGGCGAGGCUUACAAGUGGUGGCUUGAUAUUCGUAAAGACCCUUGUGUGGAUUUGUCAUCGAUCACUUGGAAAAGGUUCAAGGAAUUAUUGUUGACAACCUAUUUUCCGCAAAGUGUAAAGAGGCAGAUGGAAAGGGAUCUGAGAAAUCUGAGGCAGGGGGAUAGGACAGUAGUUGAGUAUGAGCGAGAGUUUUCUCGACUGUUACAUUGUGUUCCUUUUGUGGUCCGAGACGAUGAGGACAAAGCCCGAAUUUUCGAGGUGGGUUUGCGGCCUGCGAUUUUCAGGUUAGUCCAGGCGUCAAACCUUUCUACUUAUAGGGAGGUGGUGAAUCGGGCAUUGAUUGUGGAGAAAAGGGCAGAAAUUAUGAAGGAAAGAGAAGUUGUGGAUCGAAGCAAAGGAAAGAGACCAGUGGCUGAGAGUAGCGGUCAGCAAUCCUUCAAGAGACCGCCGAAGUAUUCAAGAGGCCAGUCGGGCUAGUCGAGGGGUCGAGGUUCUUCAGCACCCCGUGGAGCACCCGAGCGUCGUCGACAGCCACAUUGUGUCAUUUGUGGUGGGCCUCACUUUCCGCCACAGUGUCCACAACGUAGGGGCAAGUGUUUUAUCUGCGGCCAGUAGGGCCAUUUUCGCUCAGGGUGCCCGAGAGGUUCUUCGCCUGCCCCAUCAUCAGCAUCUGCACCUGCAUCUUCAGCUCUGAGUCAGGGGACCCCGACAGCACCGUAUCAAUUUAGACGACUACCGGGACAGCGGCAGUCCGAGAGUUCUCGGCAGGCUUCAAGUGGGCGUAUGUAUGCCGCCCAGACUGAGGAGGCCGCAGCAGUAGAGGAGGUCAUAACAGGUAUUAUUAUGAUUUAUAAUGUUCGUGUUCGUGCAUUAUUUGAUACUGGUGCUUCGCAUUCUUUUAUUGAUCGGCAGUUCGUCGAGUUGCAUAGCAUUCAAUUAGUACCUACUUUGCAUCCGGGACGAGUGAUCGUGCCAUAACCGCUUUUAGGACACGAUAUGGGCAUUAUGAAUUUACAGUUAUACCAUUUGGACUGACAAAUGCCCCAGCAGCCUUUAUGGUUUAAUGAACCGUAUCUUCAAGCCAUAUUUGGACAGGUUUGUGGUCGUAUUCAUCGACGAUAUCUUGAUCUAUUCUCGAAGUGACAAGGAGCAUGAAAACCAUUUAAGAAUGGUGUUGCAAGUACUUCGAGAAAAGAAACUAUUUGCAAAGUUAAAGAAAUGCGAAUUUGGCUUCGAGAAGUGGCAUUUCUAGGCCAUGUAAUUUCAGAAGCAGGAAUAGCUGUGGAUCCAAAGAAGAUUGAAGCGAUUAAAGAUUGGCCUAGGCCGACCAAUGUUACAGAGAUUCGGAGUUUCCUUGGUUUGGCGGGAUACUACCAAAGAUUUGUAGAAGGGUUUGCGAAGAUGUCUACUCCUCUCACUCGACUCACACAUGAAGGAGCUUUCUGUGGAAUGAGGCCUGUGAAAGAAGCUUUCAGGAGCUGAAAGAACGGCUGACAACCGCCCCGAUUCUGGCAAUACCUGUUACUAGAGUGGAUUAUGUGAUUUACAGCGAUGCGUCGCUGAAUGGAUUGGGGUAUGUUCUAAUGCAGAAUGACAGAGUAAUUGCUUAUACAUCUCGCCAAUUAAAGGAUUAUGAAAAGAACUACCCUACACAUGAUCUAGAAUUAGCCGCUGUAGUUUUUGCUCUAAAGCUUUGGCGCCACUACCUCUACGGCGAGCGUUGCGAGGUUUACACAGAUCAUAAAAGCUUAAAGUAUCUGUUUACUCAGAAGGAAUUAAACUUGAGACAGCGCAGAUGGUUGGAGUUGCUCAAGGAUUAUGAAUUGACUAUUCUCUAUUACCCAGAAAAAGCUAAUGUUGUAACAAAUGCUUUAAGUCGAAAAUCGACUAAAAAUUUGGCGAUGUCGAUAACUAUGCAACCACUUUUGAUAAAGAAAAUGGAAUAGUUGAAUUUGGAAGUUGUAGCUCCUGACACGCCUUGGCGACUUAUGUCAUUGGUGGUGCAACCUACCCUGGUUGAUCGAAUUAAAGAAAAGCAAGUUCAAGAUGAAGUUUUGCAACGGAUUCGAGCAAAGAUCACUGUUGAUCAUAUUGGUGACUUUCAAGUGGAUGACCAGGGGUUAUUAAGAUUCUGCAAUCGACUUCGUGUAUCAGCAGACUCAGAUAUUAAAGAAGAAAUUUUAAAAGAAGCUCAUCGGGCGCCGUAUACUUUGCAUCCCGGAAGUAUGAAAAUGUAUAAAGAUUUGGAGUUGACUUACUGGUGGCCUGGAAUGAAAAAGGAAGUUACAGAUUUUGUGGCUAAAUGCUUAACCUGUCAGCAGGUUAAAGCUGAACAUCGACUUCCUGCAGGAAAACUUCAGAGCUUACCCAUACCAGUGUGGAAGUGGGAGAGGAUUACUAUGGAUUUCAUUGUUGGAUUACCUCGCUCACAGGCAGGUCAUGAUGCGAUUUGGGUAAUUGUGGAUAGAUUGACCAAAUCUGCUCACUUUAUUCCGAUCCAUACAGUUUGGUCGGAAGAGAGACUCGCACAAGUGUACCUUGAUGAAAUUGUACGAUUACACGGAGUACCUGCCUCUAUUGUUUCAGAUCGCGACACCCGAUUCGUAUCACAUUUUUGGAGGAGUUUACAGGAGACCCUGGGUACCCGAUUGGAUUUUAGUACUGCUUUCCACCUUCAAAGUAACGGGCAGUCCGAGCGUACCAUCCAGACCCUUGAGGAUAUGUUGCGGGCCUGUGUGAUUGAUUUCCGAGGCAGUUGGCCACAGUUCCUACCUAUGGCAGAAUUUGCUUAUAACAAUAGUUAUAAAGCAAGUAUUCAAAUGGCAUCGUUUGAAGCUCUUUAUGGUAGGAAGUGCAGAUCGCCACUUCAUUGGAGUGAAGUGGGUGAGAGAUUACUCUUGGAUCCAGAUGUGCUACAGGAGGGUGAAGCUAAAGUUCGACUUGCACGAGAAUGUCUACUGACGGCUCAAAGUCGACAAAAGAGCUACGCGGAUAAACGUCGGCAAGAAUUGGAAUUUCAAGUUCGGGACCACGUGUUCCUAAAAGUUUCACAGACAAAGGGGUUUAAGAGAUUUGGUAUUCGAGGAAAGUUGAGUUCCCGAUUUAUUGGACCCUACGAGGUGUUGGAGCAGAUAGGCCCCGUAGCGUAUCGGCUUUGCUUUGCCACCGAACCUAUCGGGAGUGCACAAUGUUUUUCAUGAUCCACACUUCAGAAAUAUAUUUUUGAUCCGACCCACAUAUUGGAAAGCACCCCAGUGGAUUUGCGAGAAGAUAUGAGCUUUGAGGAACAUCCAGUGAAAAUACUAGCUCGAGAGGUGAAACGGCUUCGAAACCGUGAGAUACCUUACGUGAAGAUCCUUUUGAGCAACCAUGAUGAACGAGAAGCCACGUGGGAACUGGAAAGUGUAAUGUUGGAGCACUAUCCCCACCUUUUCCCGAUUGAAUCUUGAGGUAAUUGAUUAAAGUUUCGCGGACGAAACUCCUAUUUAGGAGGGGUGAAUGUAAUACAUGAACUUAAGCAAAUUGCGAAUUUCGAGUGUGUGGAAUGAUAUGUGGAACUAUCCUACAUCUUAUAAAAGGCUUAUACAAGUUUUUGGACAAGUUAGAGAAGUGUUUGAAUGGCUGGAAGUAAGAAAGUGCAUUACUGGCGAAAAUCUGCAUUGUGUACCGGUACAGCCAUCAUCUUGUACCGGUACAAAAUGGCAGAUACGUGGCAGCAAGGCUAAUUUGUUAAUUUCACUUCUUUAACCCAUCUUUAUCUACCCAGCACGACCUCUGGAGCUCCUUAGAUGAUGCUAGAGCUCAGUGAAGCAGCCUUGCACCUCUCUCACUCUCUUUCUCUAGGGUUUUUCUCUCUUCGAAUAGAAGUCGUCGAUUCGAGCCGAUUUCGCGCUCCGCUCGAUGUUCGCUGAUUUGGCGACUCAAAGGAAGCUUUUGGAACAUGGGGAGGAGGAUUUUUACUGACUUUUCUGGGAUCUUACUAUCAGAAAAAGCUGAGUUGUAGCUUUUGAAAGGUAUAUUGCCUAAAACUUCUCUAAUCGGAAGUUAGUAGCGGAUUUUGAGUCAUUUGGAUUUCUUUGCUCCCAGCUGAUUUAGGAGGAGUUUCCAGCAGCUAGAGAGGAGUUAUUUAGCUGUAAUUUAUCCACUCUAGUGCAGGGAAAAGUUGCUUUGAAGCUUGAUUAAGGUAAUUAGUUAUCUAUGAAGCUAUUUCGGAACUAUACGCGAUUCAUUUGAGCAACUUGAUGCAGUUUGGAAUGGUUUCUUCGCAGCAGGUUUCCGAUUCAUUUUGUGUUAAAUUGGUGACCUUGGGACCUGGUUUGGAAGGUGUUCCGGCCAGGGGUAAGUAGAAAUUUUAGAUAGAAAACUGAUUUCGCAAGAUUCCGACUAUAUUAAUUAGUAUUCGAGGGUUUUUUACGCCGUUUAGUGUUUGUUUGCAGCGAGAGUGCGAUCGACCCUUGGAUCAUCUUCGGCUGACUUGUGAAAGCUUUUGGAGGUUGAACUUGAGGUACUAAUGUGAACCAAAACAGGGAUUUAAGUUACUACUUUGUACUAAGUGAAAUUAUGCCGAUUUCGGACAUUUUGGUAAUGGUUUCCAAUCCGGUUUUGAUGCUUCGUUUUCAGCAGGGUUGAGGCCUAAUUGAGCUGAAUUUCGGGACUCCUUUGGGCUGGAUUGAGCUUAGUUAUAGGUGGGUUUGACCUAACCAGAGCAAGUGAAGCUCCCCUAUGUUCUAUAUGAUACUAUAGAAUUGACACAUAUGUGCGUUUUUGUGAUUAUGCGAUUGAUAAAGGGCUUGGAACAUAUCACCAUAAUAUUUGAUAUAUUUGAAAUAAAAUCUCUAUGAAGUAGAGAACACUUAUGCAUAAAAGUAUUUAUAUUUAUAUUUAGUUCAGUUGAAUAACUAAUGGACAUAUCUAUUGUAACAUACCAGAUUUUAGUAUAAAAAUAAAAAUAAAUAAAAAUAGUGUGAGAAACUAUUUUUAUUGGAUUUGUAGGAGUAAAACAUAAGUCAGAAAUGAUCUGUGCUGAAAUCGGAAUUAAACAGAAGAUUUAGAAUUUUCUGUUGGAAACGGGGCAGAUAAAUUAGCAGAAAAUGCACAGUCUCAGAAAAUUAUGAAAAUUGGCAGAGAUGUCAAAAAUAUUUUUAUGAGGCUAGAUUUAAGGUUUCAUAUUUUUCUGACACCCGUAGAGUGAGAAAUAAAAUCCGACACCUAUCUGAUAAAGAUUACAGUUCGGUACAGUUUUCAGUGACCAAACGGGGUCGAAACUGAACCAGCGAUCGUCAGCUUGUUAAGUUAUGUAAAACCGAACAUGACUGUCAAGUUUGAGCUCAAACGGAUAUUUAGGGAGCUCCGGCGAAAGUUAUCAGAUUUCAAGCUGCCCGGGAAUGAAUAGUGUCGGGUGCAUUAUAAAGAAGCUGAUGCUUCUUCUUCUUUCUCCUUCAGCCCGAGCACACCCACACCCACGCACGCAUGGAGUAGAGAGAGAAACACCUCUACCACUCUCUAGAUAUCUCUCUCAUCUCUCUAAAUCUCUCUCUAAAAAUUGGAGGGUUGGUGGAGAAGAUGCUUGCGAACGCGUUGGAGGCGUCGGAUCGGGCUUUCGUGCGACCGUUGGAGCGGUGUGUUGUCGUCGCGGCGUUCACAUUGAGGUAAGCUUUUGGGAUUUGGCUUAAUCCUUAAUGCUUAGUGUUCUAAUAGCCUCUAAUGAGCAUUCUAAACAUGUUUGCUCUAUUUAAUUUGGAUUAUUUGGAGAUUAAUUCAUGUUAGGCUUAGAAAAUAGGGUUUUAUAAAAUAUGAGGGUUUGAUCUAAUUUGACCCUCCGUAAACCAAAUUGCUAGGUAAACGAACGCGUUGGCGAAGACGGUUCGGCAAUCCGACGAGCCGUUACAAAGUUAUUAAAGAAAUAGACGUUUAGGCUUCGGGUCCGCCGGGAGGGCCGAGGCGAUACCGUAAAUUCAUGAAAAUGGAUUUGAAGCAUCGUGGCACAUAACCGAAGACCUUUAAUUUUCGGAUCGUGAAUUGGAGGCCGUUCGGGUAGUCGCGUGAGAGAUCGGACCAAACCGAGUGCCGGGUGCCGCGGGCGGCCGAUUGCAAGUGUCGACAAGCAAUCGGAAUGCGAAAUGAGGUGGGUUGUGUUUACCGAAGCGACUAGGUCGCCCUUUAUGUCUAAAAAAUGAGAUUUCAUAUUGAUGCAUGUUGACAUAUAAUGUGAAAUGCUAGAGGAAUGCAUUUGACACAAUGUAAGAAUGUAAAAAGAAUGCAUGUUAACAUAUUAUAGAAAUGCUAGAUAAAUGCAUGUGACUAAUGCUUUGAAUGCAUAUGAAUGUUAACAUUAUAAGAACAUGAUAAGAGGAAUGCAUGAUGACUUAGUGUAAAUAGUGCUAGAUGAAUGCAUGUGGAUAAUGCUAAGUAAUGGUAUGAUAAGCAUGAUGUAGAAAUAAUAAAUGCAAGUAUGUGGCUAAUACUAAGAUAUACUUGAUGAUCAUGUUGUAGAGAUACUAAUGUUAAGAAAUGAAAAUAUGCAUAUGGACAAUCUAUAUACAUUAGAUCGAGUGGCAUUAAACCUAGAGUCAUGGACAUAGGUUGGACAUGGAGGAUAUGAACCUAGUGCCAAAGAACAUAGGUUGGACAUCAAGUGACAUUAAACCUAGUGUAUUGAACAUAGGUUGAACAAGUAUAGUGUGAACCUAGUGUCAUGAACCUAGCAAACACUUGUGGCAUUGAGCAUAUAUAUUUGUAUCAUUCAUACAUAAUAGGGCUAAGUACAUGUGAACCUUGGUUACUUUCAAUGACAUGUUUCUAACGUAGUUGAACAUAGAGAAAGGUAGAACCAUAAUGAACAUGUAUGUUAGGACCCUAUUAUUGUGUGAAUGUGAGAGAUGGACUUGGACAUUAGUAAACAAAGGCGAUAUUGACAAUAGAGACAUUGUUUGGCAUAGAGGAUAUAGUUGUUAAACAUAGUUUAACCAAGAGUGGCAUUGGACCAAGUUGACAUAGAGAGUGACAUGAAUAAAUAGGUAGAAAACCUAUCAUGACAAUGGCAUUGUGACGAGUGGCUAUGAAUCCUCAAGUUGAGGAUUGAUCGAUACUCACGAUAAGUCUUGGCUUGAGGGAGGUAGCUCCCCCUCGGGCGGUGCGCUCCGGAGUUGGUCACCACUGGGCAUGGUAAAGUCCCACCAGUUGACGGUCCCUAGGGAGGUUCGAGUCCCCCGUUAUUAAGG
rnacentral:lncRNA from 1 species